GGCCUUCUAAUGCCCUGAAGCAAGGCAGCAUCUGGAGAAUGGACAGCUGAGGCAGCUGGAGGCAGGAGACCAUGUCUAUACCACAGCUGCAGAGGUUAAGCAGCUUUCUACUGAUUGCCAAUCAUGGCUUUGAACAUGAAGAGAAUCUUUGACAGGAACGGUAUUCCCUUG